rnacentral:rRNA from 1 species
UACGUAGGGUGCGAGCGUUGUCCGGAAUUACUGGGCGUAAAGAGCUUGUAGGUGGUUUGUCGCGUUGUUCGUGAAAUCUCACGGCUUAACUGUGAGCGUGCGGGCGAUACGGGCAGACUAGAGUACUGCAGGGGAGACUGGAAUUCCUGGUGUAGCGGUGGAAUGCGCCAGAUAUCAGGAGGAACACCGGUGGCGAAGGCGGGUCUCUGGGACGGUACUGACGCUGAGACGCGAAAGCGUGGGGAGCGAACAGG